rnacentral:rRNA from 1 species
AGAGUUUGAUCAUGGCUCAGAACGAACGCUGGCGGCGUGGAUAAGACAUGCAAGUCGAACGCUGAUUUUCCGGUAGUAAUAUUGGGAAAUUGGAGUGGCGAAAGGGUGCGUAACACGUGAGAACCUACCCGGAAGUGGAGCAUAGCCUCGCGAAAGCGAGGAUAAUUCUGCAUAUGUUGGAGACGACAAAGGGGGCCGCAAGGCUCCCGCUUUCGGAGGGGCUCGCGGCCUAUCAGCUAGUUGGCGGGGUAACGGCCCACCAAGGCGAUGACGGGUAGCUGGUUUGAGAGAACGACCAGCCACACUGGAACUGAGACACGGUCCAGACACCUACGGGUGGCAGCAGUCGAGGAGUUUUCACAAUGGGGGCAACCCUGAUGGAGCGACGCCGCGUGGAGGAUGAAGGUGUUCGGAUUGUAAACUCCUGUCACUCCAGAACAAAGGGCAUGCGCCUAAUAUGCGCGUGUUUUGAGGGUAUGGAGGGAGGAAGAGACGGCUAACUCUGUGCCAGCCGCCGCGGUAAUAC